GAAUAUCUGAAGAAUGACGCUCUGGAAACCAUCAAAGCCCAGGCCAAAGAGGGCGAGUUUAAGGCCUCUGACUUCACCUGGGUCCUAACUGUUCCUACCAACUGGGGUCAUCCAGCUAAACUGUUUAUGAGAGAUUCUGCAACCAAGGCUGGUCUUGUAACAGACGCCACUAAAGACAAACUGAUGUUUGUUCUGGAGUCAGAAGCAGCUUUGACCUGGUGUUUGAAGCUUCAACCUGAUGGUUUCAUCACACAGAACCACAGCAGAGACUCACAGGAUCAACCUGCAGGAGCA